UUACAUGAAAUCAUCUAUAGAUAUUAAUUCUUUACAUAAAUAUAAAAAAUUAAUGCAUUCGGGGCCACUGGUCGAACUGGGGACUUAAAAAUUAGGCUCAAGCCCAACUCAUAUUAUCCUUGGUUUGGAUUGGGCCAUGGAACGCGAGCUUUUUGACAUAUAUAAGAGUAAUGUUUUGGUGGUGAAUAUUUAAAGUGUUUGCAGAAGACUACCGAAAUCUAGUACAAGCAAUUUGGAAGAAGACGAACAGAAUGGCCUGCUGCAAUUUUUUAUUGCAAUUCUUUUACUAUUUUCUUGUUUUUUUCGUUUUCUUCUUUGGUUUUACUGUAUAACAAAUAAUAAACUAUGGUUACGUAAAUAAGUAAUGAAAAAUAACAAAAGAAUUAGGCUUCUCUAAUUAAACUAACCAGUGCAAGCAAAGCAUUUUAGGCUCCGUUUUAAGCAUAUUUUAACGAUUUAAAAUUUUUUAUAUUAUAAACUUCAUCAAAAAUUUUAAUAUUAUAAAAAAUAGCAUUGACCAAAUAUAGACCAAUAGUCGAAUAUUAAUGUAUCUCAAAAUAAAUUGGUAUAAUUAUAGGGUAAUGCUAUGGGUGUUAGCCCUAUGGCGUCAAUCCGAUUAUGUUGCCAAAUAUGUUGAUGAUAAAAAUUCUAUCUUAUUGCUCUAAUGUAUUUAAAUUCAAGUAUGAUAGUUGCAAGAAAUAUUCAAUGCAAUAUGCUAAGGAGCAAAAAUAUUCGACAGUAUUUGGAUGCAACGUAAGAAGAGGAAGACUUCAAGCACUGAAGAUAUCAAAAAAAUGAAGAACUUUCAUAGGGUAUGUUUUGUAAAGCUCUUGUAUGGUUAAAUUCUUGAGGUCUUAAAAUGACCUUAAUAUCCUUCUUGCAUUUUAAAAAACAAAAAAGCAUUAAAAUUUAAAGUUUUAAAAAUGUGCUAGCAAUAAUUAUUAUUUUGAAAAUUUAAUUACAACUUUGAAAAAGAGCUAGAAAUAAUUUUUGAUUUUGAAAAUUUGAUUUUCAAGUUUGAAAAAAUAGCUAGCAAUAAUUUUUGACUUUGAAAAGUGAUUGCAAUUUUGAAAAAUAUGCUAGACAACAAUUUCUGAUUUUGAAAAUUGAUUCCAUUUUGAAAAUUUGGAUAGCAAAACAAUUUCUGACUUUGGAAAAUGUGGUUGCAACUUUGAAAAAUGGUUUAAAAGAAUUUCUGACUUUGAAAAAUGUAGUUGCAACCUUUGAAAAUUUGAAUAGCAACAAUUUCUGACUUUGAAAAUUUGAUUUCCAAGUUUGAAAAUUGGUUAGAAAUAAUUUUAAUUUGAAAAAUUUCAUUCUCAAGUUUGAAAAUUUAGUUAGCAAAAUUUGACUUUGAAAAUUUGAUUCCACUUUUGAAAAUUUGGAUAGCAACAAUUUCUGACUUUGAAAAUGUGGUUGCCACUUUGAAAAUGGUAAAAAGAAUUUUUUCUUACUUUGACAAUGUAGUUGGCAACUUUUGAAAUUUGAAUAGCAAACAAUUUCGACUUUGCAAUUGAUUCCAAUUUUCGAAAAUUGGUUAGAAAUAAUGUCUAACUUUGAAAUUUAAUGCCAAGUUUGAAAAUUUAGUUGCAACAAUGUCUGACUUUGAAAAUUUGAUUCCAACUUUGAAAAUGUGAUUUUCAAAUUUGAAAUGGGGCCACUUAGCAAAAUUUCAAGAGGUUCCCUCAACGGAACGGUAUAUUGGCGGGGGUUUGCUAAGGGGCCAUAAAUACAUAUCUUAUCUCUUAUUUAACCAAGUUAAACCAAGUGAGAAGGGAAUAAGCUUAGGAAACUCAAAGGCGAUACUUCUUUCAAUUUCCUUUGAGCCUGUUCAAGUUUAAUUCAUAGCGCAGAGGUUCUAGUGAGGGAUGGGAUAUCAGGUUGGGUGAAAGCUUCAGUUUGUCGUAUCCUUGGUCGCAAAAAUGAGAUUGUUAUUGUUGGAGGGAGAGAAGGUGCAUCAAGUGGUCCUUUCACGUCUAUUGUAUCAAGAGGGGUGUGGUGUGAUCCUUAUGGUUGUGUGACCCUUGUGAGGUGAGAAGAUGUUUUUUCACUUGAAGAAGAGUGGGUGUGCUCGUGACGUGUAAGGUUUGAACUCCACCCGUAAGGGUUUGGUUAGUGAUGAAAUCUCAAGUGUGUCUUGAGGAGUGGCACAAGCUUAGUCUGAAGACCGAACCACUAUAAAUCGCCAAAACAAAUCGCCGAGUUUGAAUCUCUCUCCCUAUCUCUUGAUUAUUGAGUUCAUUUAUAUUCUUGCAUUAUAUGGCUUUUUAAUUGUUCUAAACUCUAAUUGGUAUAAUUUUUAAAUAAAGAAAAGUUCGCCAACAAACCCUAUUCACCCCCUUCUAGGGUUGAUAUCUGGGCACAAUGGAUACCCCAUAAUUUGUAUCCCAAAUGCACAACUGAUGAGGUGUCGCCAUUGGGUUGUUGGGUGUAGGGAUUCACCCAGUCCAUUUCAGCCCACACCAAGCUAACCAAUGCGAACCUCAUCACUAGUGUGCAU
rnacentral:lncRNA from 1 species